rnacentral:rRNA from 1 species
GAUGAACGCUAGCGGGAGGCUUAACACAUGCAAGUCGUGGGGCAGCACGGGGUAGCAAUAUCCUGGUGGCGACCGGCGCACGGGUGAGUAACGCGUAUGCAACCUACCCAGUACAGGGGGAUAGCCCGGAGAAAUUCGGAUUAAUACCCCAUAAUGAUAUUAAGAGGCAUCUUUUAAUAUUUAAAGCUACGGCGGUACUGGAUGGGCAUGCGUAAGAUUAGCUAGUUGGUAGGGUAACGGCCUACCAAGGCUCCGAUCUUUAGGGGUCCAGAGAGGGUGAUCCCCCACACUGGUACUGAGACACGGACCAGACUCCUACGGGAGGCAGCAGUGAGGAAUAUUGGUCAAUGGGCGCAAGCCUGAACCAGCCAUCCCGCGUGAAGGAAGAAUGCGCUAUGCGUUGUAAACUUCUUUUCCGGAGGAAUAAAAUUUUGUACGAGUACAGGACUGAAGGUACUCCGGGAAUAAGCAUCGGCUAACUCCGUGCCAGCCGCCGCAGUAAAAC